AAGUAACACGUGUCGUGCGGCAGCCAAUAGUUCCAAACACUGAGUUCCAGCACUGAGGACCAUUAAUAUUAGGAGCUUCCGAAGUACGCUCCCUGAUUGAUUUUCUUACCAUGGUUGGCUGUGCGGCAUUUGGAUGCACCAAUCGGUCAGAGAAAGGGAUCCGGAUGUAUGGCUUCCCAAAAGAAACCGACAGGAGAAAGAAAUGGUUAGCCCAAGUCGGCAGAAGCAACCUAUUCAUCACAAAAGAUUUCAACAACAGAAAACUAUGUGCAGCACAUUUUGAGGGAGAGCAAUUCUCAAAAACAAAAAAAGGCCACCUGACACUGAGAAGUGAUGCUGUUCCAACCAUAUUUGUGCAUCACCCUGAACCCAGGAGGAGGAAUGGUCCUGCCGUGAGAAGUACCUCAGAACCUCCAGUACAUGUUCAUGCAGUGGCCAGUGACCACACGUAUUGUCCUAUAAAGAACUUCGAUAUUGAGGAAGUACGGAAAGUGAGAGAAGGGAAAAUGAGGGAAGAGAGGACAAGAAAGGUGAAGACUGAGGAUAUUGAGGGAGAAAUGCCAGCCAGUAUGCAGGUGAAAUUUGACUUCGUCAACGCACCAGCUUCAGCACUCCACUGUUCAAAUAGCGCCACCAACCAGUUUCAUCAUCACUCCACUGCUUACAGGAAUGGCAAGCUCCCCCAGCCUGGUUAUCGCUCCACUCUCCACUGAUAAUCCAUCCUGUUGAAACCAAACAAAAUGACAACACACACAUGUAGUGAUUGUGAAUGGCUUUGCAAAUUAAUUUCCACCUUUUCGAGCUGGAACUUGAGACUUACAUUAUCUAGGUAUAAGUCUUGCUUUAGAUUUCUCCAUCACCUCCUAAAAGAGAAAAUUGAGUCAAAUGAAAUGUAAUACAAAAAAUAUAUAUAUUUCAGGUGUAUUCCUGUUAGAUUAAAGUUCAAUGUGUCACAAAAGCAGCAGUGUACAUGUGCUUCUUUCAGCUAAAUCACUAGAGUAUCACUUUUCACCCAUUUUAGUCAUAGGGAGCCAUAAACACGAGG